rnacentral:rRNA from 1 species
GGAGUCGGACCUGCCCAGUGAAGUUUUUUAACGGCCGCGGUACUCUGACCGUGCAAAGGUAGCACAAUCAUUUGCCUUAUAAUUGAAGGCUAGUAUGAAUGGUUUGACAAGAAUAUAGCUGUCUCUUUAUGGCUAUUUAGAAUUUUAUUUAUAGGUGAAGAAGCCUAUAUUUCAUUAAUAGACGAGAAGACCCUAUCGAGCUUCAAAUAAAUUAAUAGAUAUAAAUCAAUUAAAUAAUAACUAAAAUAAAAACUAUUAAAUAUUCUUAGUUAGUUGGGGCGACUGAGGAACAAUAAAAGCUUCCUUUAAGCAUUUUAAUAAACUAUACUAGUUUUAAUCCAAAAACUUUUUGAUCAAAGAAAUUAGCUACCGUAGGGAUAACAGCAUAAUCCCUUUUGAGAGUUCCUAUCGAAAAGGGGGUUUGUGACCUCGAUGUUGGACUAGAAUAUCCCAAAGAUGCAGCAGUCUUUAAAGG